rnacentral:rRNA from 1 species
GAUCUACGGGGGGCAGCAGUGGGGAAUAUUGCACAAUGGGGGAAACCCUGAUGCAGCAACGCCGCGUGAGUGAAGAAGUAUUUCGGUAUGUAAAGCUCUAUCAGUAGGGAAGAAGAAAGACGGUACCUGACUAAGAAGCCCCGGCUAACUACGUGCCAGCAGCCGCGGUAAUACGUAGGGGGCAAGCGUUAUCCGGAUUUACUGGGUGUAAAGGGAGCGUAGACGGCAUAGCAAGUCUGAAGUGAAAGCACGUGGCU